CUGUGAGGGGGAGGCGAAUCCCAAAAAUAACGUCUCAGUUCGGAUUGUAGUCUGCAACUCGACUACAUGAAGCUGGAAUCGCUAGUAAUCGCGAAUCAGAAUGUCGCGGUGAAUACGUUCCCGGGUCUUGUACACACCGCCCGUCACACCAUGGGAGUUGGUAACGCCCGAAGCCAGUGACCUAACCGAAAGGGAGGAGCUGUCGAAGGCGGGACCGAUAACUGGGGUGAAGUCGUAACAAGGUACC
rnacentral:rRNA from 1 species